AGCAUAUCAAUAAGCGGAGGAAAAGAAACCAACAGGGAUUGCCCUAGUAACGGCGAGUGAAGCGGCAACAGCUCAAAUUUGAAAUCUGGCUCUCGGGCCCGAGUUGUAAUUUGUAGAGGAUGUUUUUGAUGCGGUGCCUUCCGAGUUCCCUGGAACGGGACGCCAUAGAGGGUGAGAGCCCCGUCUGGUUGGAUGCCAAAUCUCUGUAAAACUCCUUCAACGAGUCGAGUAGUUUGGGAAUGCUGCUCUAAAUGGGAGGUAUAUGUCUUCUAAAGCUAAAUACCGGCCAGAGACCGAUAGCGCACAAGUAGAGUGAUCGAAAGAUGAAAAGCACUUUGAAAAGAGAGUUAAAAAGUACGUGAAAUUGUUGAAAGGGAAGCGUUUGUGACCAGACUUGGACUUGGUUAAUCAUCUGGGGUUCUCCCCAGUGCACUUCUCCAGUUCAGGCCAGCAUCAGUUUUCGCCGGGGGAUAAAGGCUUUGGGAAUGUGGCUCCCCUCGGGGAGUGUUAUAGCCCAUUGUGUAAUACCCUGGCGGGGACUGAGGUUCGCGCAUCUGCAAGGAUGCUGGCGUAAUGGUCAUCAACGACCCGUCUUGAAACACGGACCAAGGAGUCGUCUUCGUAUGCGAGUGUUCGGGUGUCAAACCCCUACGCGUAAUGAAAGUGAACGCAGGUGAGAGCUUCGGCGCAUCAUCGACCGAUCCUGAUGUUCUCGGAUGGAUUUGAGUAAGAGCAUACGGGGCCGGACCCGAAAGAAGGUGAACUAUGCCUGUAUAGGGUGAAGCCAGAGGAAACUCUGGUGGAGGCUCGCAGCGGUUCUGACGUGCAAAUCGAUCGUCAAAUAUGGGCAUGGGGGCGAAAGACUAAUCGAACCUUCUAGUAGCUGGUUUCCGCCGA
rnacentral:rRNA from 1 species